rnacentral:ncRNA from 1 species
UAAAAGUUAUUAGGAGUAGUAAGUUUAUCUUUUUUAUCAGAGAGUACAUGGUCGGUGUGAAUGUACAAAAGAGACAACUGAACUCACCUAUUAAAAAGCUGGAAGAGAUAAAAAAUUCUAGACGUCAUUCCGCGUUAAGGAGUCGAGUUCAACUAUAAAGUUAUAGUUGAAAAUUAGGUGGUACCGCGUUUAAUCGCCCUAUAA